rnacentral:rRNA from 14 species
CCGCGGUAAUUCCAGCUCCAAUAGCGUAUAUUUAAGUUGUUGCAGUUAAAAAGCUCGUAGUUGGAUUUGUGGUGUGACGGAUCGGUCCGACCUUUGGUGGGUACUCGAUGUUGUCACGCCAUCCUUGAGUGGUUCGUCCUGGCAUUAAGUUGUCGGGGCGGCAGCCGCUCAUCGUUUACUGUGAGAAAAUUAGAGUGUUCAAAGCAGGCUUAUGCCGUUGAAUAUAUUAGCAUGGAAUAAUAAGAUAGGACCUUGGUACUAUUUUGUUGGUUUGCGCACCGAGGUAAUGAUUAACAGGGACAGUUGGGGGUAUUCGUAUUCCAUUGUCAGAGGUGAAAUUCUUGGAUUUAUUGAAGACUAACUACUGCGAAAGCAUUUGCCAAGGAUGUUUUCAUUGAUCAAGAACGAAAGUUAGGGGAUCGAAGACGAUCAGAUACCGUCCUAGUCUUAACCAUAAACUAUGCCAACUAGAGAUUGGAGGUCGUUACCUAUACGACUCCUUCAGCACCUUAUGAGAAAUCAAAGUCUUUGGGUUCCGGGGGGAGUAUGGUUGCAA